CCCCUAGAUGUUCUGGGCCGCACGCGCGCUACACUGAACAGUUCAACAAGUCUUAACCUUGGCCGAUAGGUCUGGGUAAUCUUUGAACGCUGUUCGUGAUUGGGAUAGACCUUUGCAAUUAUGGGUCUUCAACGAGGAAUUCCUAGUAAACGCAAGUCAUCAGCUUGCAUUGAUUACGUCCCUGCCCUUUGUACACACCGCCCGUCGCACCUACCGAUGGAAUGGUCCGGUGAAAUCUCGGGACGGCGGCUUGGUCGCUUGCGUCCGACUGCUGAAACUUGAUUAAACCAUAUCAUUUAGAGGAAGGUGAAGUCGUAACA
rnacentral:rRNA from 1 species